rnacentral:lncRNA from 1 species
AUGUGUCUGUUUUUGUGUGAUUGGCUUAAAUUUGCAUUAUUGCUCAUCCUUGGACCAAUUUUUAAGGUAAAUUGGUUGGAAUUAUGUGAUUGGCUUAGACCAAUCUGUGUCCAUCUUUGGUCCAAGUCAGGUCAUAUUGUAUCCAACCACAAGUGCUACAAAAUAAGAAGAGAGGCAACCCAUGUUAAUAGAGUUAUGUAUCAGUGGCUCUGUGCAUGGCUUCAAAAUGGAUGGGUCAGACAAUAUCUCUCUUCCAGAGGAGCAUCUGAAGUGGGGUCCCCUCCCAAGAAGGAGCCUUGCUGCUUUCUCCUCCCUUCACCUGUCUUCUCCAGAGCAAAUCAUGCUUCCCUCGGGAGAGCUGAAAAGAGCAUGGAUUUUAAGCAGUGUGGCCUUCAGCAAGUUGCUGUGAAUUUGCACUCCUGGGUGCCAGGACCUGCUUGCUCACCUCUGUCCCUGAGGCCUCUUGGCCACCCGUGCUUCUAGGCCACCCAGCAGUACUGGGCCGGAGUCCACACCAGCUGUGAGUACAGCCACUGCCUCUGCAGCCCUCCUGCCAGGAGCAACGGGGGCACACUGGGUGAGGAGCUCAGGGUUGCAGGGUUUAUCACUGGGCAUGGGAUUCCCUCCUGCCCCCUUCCUUUCAUCACCUCCUCCAAGCCCAGGAAGCUCAGGAACGGGCAGUAGCUCCGUUAUUGGGAUGAGGCUGGGCGAGCGCAGGUCUAAGGAUGGACAGAGAUGACCCCUGCUGCUAAGUAACCCUAUCACGUUUUAGGUUCUGGAUGCUUCGCUGAGUGCUUACUAACAUCAUCUCGCUUCACCCCCAUCAGGACCUUGUGAGUAGGUUAAUAGCAUCCCUAUUAGUCAGAUGAGGAAACCGAGCUUAGAAAGGUUAAUUACUUGAGCCAAGUAGUCCAACUGUGACUCGGGGGGUGAGUGGGGCUGGGAGCCAGGCAAUCUCAGCUGGAGCUCGUGCCUUCUCACUGCCACCCUGCCAGCUGGGCUCUGUGCCAGGCCAGGGCCGAGGAACACAGUGGAUGCAUCCUGGUGCCACCCCAACCCAUCUAUGCAGUGCAUGAGCCUUUCUGGGCAACCUUGCCCCAGUGGUUUCCCCAGCCCUGCUAGCAAGUUUUGGGAGCCUCACCUGGACAAGACCCAAUCUCCUGACUCCUUUGCGGGUCCAGAGCCAUGCUGGGUGGGUGUGAUUUCGGAGGACUGGGCACGAGUGGGAGCUGUAGGCAGCUUCCCCCACAGCCCACCAGAUGCCGGGCAGGUGUGCCCCACCCUUUCCCCCCAGCUGACUUGAGACCCUGGCUUUGCUGUGUAUACAGCAUGGGCCUUGGGGGUCACCCGGCUCUCUGAUUCUAGUACAUCCACUUUUCAUGACUGAGCCUCUGCUAGUUGCCAAGGCUGUUUCUACCAGGAGCUCAGGUGUGAGUCCCACAUGAAUCCUGAGUACUUUCUGUCUCCCCACCUGCCACGUCACCCUCAAGGGUAAUCACAGGAUCUCAGUGUUAGCCUUAGAUUUCAGCAAGAGAUCGUCUCAUCCGACUUUCUCAUUUUCCAGAUGAGCAAAUGGAGGCCUAAGAACAGUUGGAGAUUGGACAGGUCCGCAGAGUGACUUGUCUUAUCUGGAAAUAGGGCUUGAAGACAUGAAUCCAGCAUUCUAGAGGGCAUGGGCAGGUGGGUUGGGCUGCCCUGAUCACAGACUGUUGCCUAGAGGCUGUGAGAGAGGGCGGAGGUGCAUCUCAUGAAUGUCGUGGCUCACCGGUCAACCAGGCUUCACGUCUUUUUUUUUUUUUAAGACUUUAUUUAUUUAUUCAUGAGAGACAGACAGAGAGAGACAGAGACAGAGACAGAAACAGAGACAUAAGCAGGCUUCAUGCAGGGAGCCUGAUGCGGGACUCGAUCACAGAGUCCUGGGAUUAUGCCUUGAGCCAAAGGCAGACGCCCAACCACUGAGCCACCCAAGUGUCCCGAGGCUUCACCUCUUAAGGUAAUUUAGAGCACCUGCCCCACAUGUGAUCGACAUUUCUAGAGCCGUUCACAUCUUUCUGAGGACUGCUCAUAGAAUGGGCUCUUUGGGGACCCAGGGAGGGGUGGUCAGAGGGAGGUUGGAGGGUCACCAGGUGGUGAGAUGGUAGGAGGGGUUUGCAUGUGGGCUGGGAGUAGGGAUGGGAAGUUCCAUGAGGUCCUAUCAAACCCUGAAUUCUACAAGCUUCUAUGAGCUGGGACUCAUACCCAGACCUGGAGGUAUUUUGUUAUUUUUGUUUGUUUGUUUUUCAGUUGGGCCAUGCUGUUUCUGCUCAAGUCAUUAGAGUUAUCAGAAGUCCCAGUGGGCAUCCCUCUGCCUCUUCACUGCUGCUAGGCUGAGCAGAGUCAGGUAUGUUGGGAAAUGUUCUCCAAAUCUGGUCCCUCUGGGGCUGCAUGCUGUGGUUGCAGAAGCCUUCUUGAACUUCCUCCUUGGGGGAAGUAUGCGCUCUCUCCUUCUUUGUAGGUCAGCCGUGAACAUGGAAAAUCACAUGAAUUAAUAGGCAUUUUCUGAGCACUUACUGUAUAAUAUCAUGCUAACGUAAGGGGACAGCUCAAAGAAUGUCAGGGGCACACACAUUCUGUAAGCUCUGGCUCAUAUUUGGGGGUCAUUAUCCCUUCCAUUCCCUUCCUUCCAAGGGGUUGCUCUAGGGAGCACCAUUGUGGCCAGGCACUGGUGAGCGGUGGGGUGACUUCCUAGUGUGAGGGAUUUCCCUCCCUUCUAGCAUUUCCCCAGCCUGCUUGCUGAUGAGAAAUGGCUCUCCUUCCGGGUAGGAAUUUGCUUCUCAUUAAAACAUAAAUCCUCCUAAGAGAGGUCUCACUUUCCCUCUGAUCAGUUGUGACUGAUGUUUAUGUAAUGGACGAUAUAAUAAGAUCCUUUUCAUAUUUUCAUACGAUUGUGAAGGUAACACCCGAUCACUGUAGAAAAUAUGAAAUAUAUGGACACAUACAUAAACAAGGAAACCCAAAUCACCCGUGCUCGCAUAACCCAGAGACAACUGCAGAGCUUUUGCUCCAGUCCUGAUAGGCAGACUGCAUAGUUUACCGAGAGGCACGGUGGUGUGCGGAGGCUCAAAGCUAGAUCUCGAGGCAGGUGCCAAGCCAGUUAGUGGCUCUGUGACCUUCCAGAGAUGAUAGACUCCUCUCUGCCUCAGCUGCUUCAUCUGUAAGAUGGGGAUAAUCAUGGUGCCUAUGCCUUAAGGCUGUUUUGAAGAUUUACUCAGCACUGCCUGGUUCAAGAACUGAGGGGUGUCCGUGUUACUUUUGCUGUUAGGGUUGUCUUAUAACUCAUACGUGACCAAGUCUCCCUGGGCCCCUCAGUCUCACCCGUUCCAAUUUCUAAAUCAUUGCCGGCUAAUGUAGAUUGUUCUAGAAUUUCUUGGGAGAUGAUGGAGAUGUUUAUGUCACACGACGCAACAGAUCGAGCCUUCCUCCCCUGCACUUUAAACAUCUGAGUGCUUUCUCCAAAUUUUUAAUCCUGGUGGAAAUUGUCUCAUUGUCUCUUCUCUUUUUCCCAAGAAACUCUUCCUUGGCCUCUCCAGCCACCUGGCACUGAAACCCUCCCACCCCCUCGAAAUCUCAUCAGCUUACAGAGCUAGCAGCUGCACUCAGCAGAACGAACGAGCCAAAUCCCGACCAAGCAUAUCCCGGGAGCCUCAUUUUAUUUAACCAU